AAACGCGCUGAUUGGCUGCGCAGGGCGAGCGGUGACCCUUUGGUCGCCGUGUGAUUGGCUGCUCUGUUUCCUGGAAACGGAACUAAAGCCGAGUUUAGAACAAGCUGGAGGCGCAGCGCAAGGGGCGUGGCCUUAUGCGCGCUCCGGCGAAGUGCGCAGGCGCUCGCCAAGGGGAUCAGCGCCAUUUUGAAGAGGAUAUUUCCCAUUUUAUGCUCAGUCGGGCAGGAGGCGCAGCGGAGACGGGCGGCGGGGCUCGGUGGUAGAGCCGCCCGGUGCGAGGUAGGCCCUGAUCUACGCCAGCGCUGUAAUUACGAGACACACUGACGCUGUGUGGCAGGUUGGGGUAAGAAGCUCGCUUUUAGCGAAGCCCAAAGGUCAUGUGAAGGCUGUGACGUUGCUGGCAGUGGAUCGGUUGGCUGGGAUGACGCCAGUGACAUGGCGGCGUCACUAGGAGGUGUGGCUGUCUGGGGAUAUUCACUUCCGGGUGCUGUGCGAGCUGUCCCUGCCUGGCAGGUGUCACGUGUGCGGAGGCAUGCUGGUCACCGGUGCCCUGGUGGCUUCCAGGGGUCCCUUCUCCGCAGCCCUACCUGGUAUCUGGCUGUUAUGCUGGGACAUGUGGUUCCUUUGUUCACUGUCAGCAAAUACCAUAUCCUUGGUGCAGGCAUGACUGAAAAGGGGUAUUUGUGAAUACACAAUUGUCGGAAGAGCUGACAGCAUCGGUUUUGUAUCCACUGUAAAGAAAAUAGUAUCAUGUGACCUUCCAGAGGUCAGGUAACGUGGUUUAAUGCGCACUCCCUUUGUAUGGUGGUGGUGAUGAUGAUGCUGCUGCUGGCAAACUCCAAGAGGCAUCUUGGUAUAGGCAAAUCUUUCCACCAAUUUUGAGUUUGGUUUUUCUCAAUCGAACUGUGUACCUGAUUGGACAGGCUGUGAGGUGAUUGUGAACUCAACAAGCUUGGUGGAUAGAUGUUCCUCUAGUAAAUCUCACAGGAAUUAACUAUACAUACUUCAUGUAGGUUCAUUCAUAAAAAUUGUCAGUUAUUAGGGUUAUGUGAUCCUUUGGUAAGAUAAUAGGUUACAUGUCCGUGUUUUCCUGGCAUCAAUUAUUAUGAUGAACUGUUUUCACUUCUUCUAAUACAGAUAUAUUGCUUAUUGUUUUUCUGUAUUGGAGUAAGCUUUAACAGUUGGUUUUAUUGUCCCUUUGAUUUCCCAGUGAUUGACAUGUCAUCCUCUAUUUCUUGACGAGUCUCUGUGUGAUGGUGUCUAUUGUUUUUCAUGUUUGGUUUCCUUAGGAGCAGAUGUUUAAAUCUGUUUGAGUAGCACUGAAUAAAUGAGAUGAAAACGGAGUAUUUCUUACGAUACUGUAAUCUAAUCCAGAGCUUCCAAUAAACUUUACAACUGCUUUUACCAACA